AUGCAGUCGAGGGGUAUAGUUCUUCGGAAUUAGAGACCGGCGCACGGGUGCGUAACGCGUAUGCAAUCUACCUUUUACAGAGGGAUAGCCCAGAGAAAUUUGGAUUAAUACCUCAUAGUAUAAUGACUCGGCAUCGAGAUAUUAUUAAAGUCACAACGGUAAAAGAUGAGCAUGCGUCCCAUUAGCUAGUUGGUAAGGUAACGGCUUACCAAGGCUACGAUGGGUAGGGGUCCUGAGAGGGAGAUCCCCCACACUGGUACUGAGACACGGACCAGACUCCUACGGGAGGCAGCAGUGAGGAAUAUUGGACAAUGGGCGCAAGCCUGAUCCAGCCAUGCCGCGUGCAGGAUGACGGUCCUAUGGAUUGUAAACUGCUUUUAUACGAGAAGAAACACUCCUUCGUGAAGGAGCUUGACGGUAUCGUAAGAAUAAGGAUCGGCUAACUCCGUGCCAGCAGCCGCGGUAAUACGGAGGAUCCAAGCGUUAUCCGGAAUCAUUGGGUUUAAAGGGUCCGUAGGCGGUUUAAUAAGUCAGUGGUGAAAGCCCAUCGCUCAACGGUGGAACGGCCAUUGAUACUGUUAAACUUGAAUUAUUAGGAAGUAACUAGAAUAUGUAGUGUAGCGGUGAAAUGCUUAGAGAUUACAUGGAAUACCAAUUGCGAAGGCAGGUUACUACUAAUGGAUUGACGCUGAUGGACGAAAGCGUGGGUAGCGAACAGGAUUAGAUACCCUGGUAGUCCACGCCGUAAACGAUGGAUACUAGCUGUUGGAAGCAAUUUCAGUGGCUAAGCGAAAGUGAUAAGUAUCCCACCUG
rnacentral:rRNA from 1 species